rnacentral:rRNA from 1 species
UACAGAGGUCUCAACCGUUGUUCGGAUUCAUUGGGCGUAAAGGGUGCGUAGGCGGUCGCGCAAGUCGGAUGUGAAAUCUCGGGGCUCAACCCCGAAACUGCAUUCGAUACUGCGUGGCUCGAGUACUGGAGAGGAGACUGGAAUUUACGGUGUAGCAGUGAAAUGCGUAGAUAUCGUAAGGAAGACCAGUGGCGAAGGCGGGUCUCUGGACAGUUCCUGACGCUGAGGCACGAAGGCCAGGGGAGCAAACGGG